rnacentral:lncRNA from 1 species
AAGCAGGUUCCCCCUAGGCAGAGCGCCAAGAAGCAGCCCAGGCGAUCCCAAGGCGCACAAGUGCUCUCACCAGGCUGCGCGCUGGCGGGUCGGUGCACAGGGACGGGGUCGCCGCCCACGCGCGCUUGGUUCAGGGAGCCCAGGCUGUCCCUACCCGCGGCUACAAAAGCUCGCCGAGUCUUCCUGUCCACCCAAUCGCCCCACAUGUCAGCGGUUGGUCGCCUCGCGGUGCAGUGCUGGGCACGCGAGCCCCUCCCGCAGUCAUUCUCAGCACAAGCACCAGCCUGGAGCCCCGCAGCGACAGAGCUGAGAGCCCCCAAGCCGCAGAGGUCGUGCGGAGCAGGCCUAAGGCAAUAGCUAAUUGAGACUAUGCAUCACUAUUAAGGCAUCUUCACUAAAGGGCGCUGUGGAAACGCUGCCUGAGAUGCAGACACCUGUCAGAAGGGGGCUAAAUUUCAAACAAGGAACGUGGUGUUGCAUCACAAUAAAUAGAUACGGGGUUUCACCGUGUUAGCCAGGAUGGUCUCGAUCUCCUGACUUCAUGAUUCACAUGCCUCGGCCUCCCAAAGUGCUGGGAUUACAAACAGAAGAAACACACGUGUUCUUGUGUGUAAACCCAGUCCAUGGAAGAGACCGUCUGCUUGUCCCUCCUGAUCUCUGGGCCCAGACAACCAGUAGUCACCAUUCCAAGUGAGGGGUGGCUGCAACUCUACAGCCCCGUUCGUCUCUCCUCACUGUCAAAGCUGCUGAGACCCCAGACUCGACACUUGAAAGAAACCCAUGUCUGUGAAGCACUUGUGGACCAUUCAAGAUUGUGGAAGAAUCACUCAAGAGAAGGAGAUAGGUGAUGGGAUCUAGCUUCUGAUGGUUUCUAUUUUAUUGAAUGUCUAAUAGGGCAAGAAUUUGAAAAACGAGAAUGUUUGCCAUGCAGGAGGACCUGGGAAGGAGAUAACACAUUUACAGGGAGAAAGAUUGGGAUUCAGUUGGGAGGAGUAACUGAGGAAAGGGGUCACUCAAAAUAUUUUGUAUUUUAGGUCCUUUUUCUAUUAAGGAGGAAUGGAUUAUCAAAGCCUUAACAUUAAAUUGUAUUGUGUCAGGUGAAUUGCUAUGGUUUGAAUGUGGUGUGUCCCCCUCCCAAACUCACAUUGAAUUUUUUUUUUUUUUUUUGAGACGGAGUCUCGCUCUGUUGCCCAGGCUGGAGUGCAGUGGUGCGAUCUUGGCUCACUACAAGCUCUGCCUCCCGGGUUCAAGAGAUUCUCCUGCCUCAGCCUCCCGAGUAGCUGGGAUUACAGAUGUUCGUCACCACACCUGGCUAAUUUUUGUAUUUUUAAUAGAGAUGGGGUUUCACUAUGUUGGCUAGGCUGGUCUCAAACUCCCGACAUCAGGUGAUCCACCCACCUCGGCCUCCCAAAGUGCUGGGAUUAGAGGAGUGAGCCACUGCACCCAGCCUCACGUUGAGGUUUAAUUGCCAUUGUAACAGUAUAAAGAUGUGGGACCUUUACGAGGUGAUUAGGCAAUGAGGACUCUGCCCUCAUGAAUGGAUUAAUGCUGUUAUCAUGGGAGUGGAUUCCUUAUAAAGGGACACGUUCAGCACCCCCUUGCUCUCUCUCUCACCUUCCGCCAUAUGAUGAUGGGGCACAAAGGCCAUCAUCAGAUGUUGGCCCCUUGUUCUCGAACUUCCCAACCUCCAGAGCAGUAAAAAAAUAAAUCACUGUUCUUUAC